rnacentral:rRNA from 1 species
GACGAACCGUCCAAACGUUAUUCGGAAUCACUGGGCUUACAGAGUUCGUAGGCGGUCUGGAAAGUUGGGUGUGAAAUCCCUCGGCUCAACCGAGGAACUGCGCUUGAAACUACCAGACUCGAGGGAGAUAGAGGAAAGCGGAACUGAUGGUGGAGCGGUGAAAUGCGCAGAUAUCAGGAGGAACACCGGUGGCGAAGGCGGAUCUCUGGGCCUUACCUGACGCUCAGGCGCGAAAGCUAGGGGAGCGAACAGG